GGUUAGAUGGCCGAGUGGUCUAAGGCGCCAGAUUCAGGACCAGCAUCUUCGUGAUGCCUUCCAUGCUAUUUGUAUUCUGGUCUUCACGGGCGUGGGUUCGAAUCCCACUCUAAUCA